GAUGAACGCUAGCGGGAGCUUAAACAUGCAAGUCGAGGGGCAGCAUAGGGUAGCAAUACUCUGAUGGCGACCGGCAAACGGGUGAGUAACGCGUAUGCAACCUACCCUGUACAGGGGGAUAACCCGGAGAAAUUCGGACUAAUAUCCCGUAAUAAUAUCCGGAGGCAUCUUUGGAUAUUUAAAGUUCCGACGGUACGGGAUGGGCAUGCGUAACAUUAGCUGGUUGGUAAGGUAACGGCUUACCAAGGCUAUGAUGUUUAGGGGUCCUGAGAGGGUGGUCCCCCACACUGGUACUGAGACACGGACCAGACUCCUACGGGAGGCAGCAGUGAGGAAUAUUGGUCAAUGGGCGCAAGCCUGAACCAGCCAUCCCGCGUGCAGGAAGACGGCCCUAUGGGUUGUAAACUGCUUUUCCAGGGAGAGAAACUUACGCACGUGUUGCGUGACUGACGGUACCCUGGGAAUAAGCAUCGGCUAACUCCGUG
rnacentral:rRNA from 1 species